rnacentral:snRNA from 1 species
GCUUGCUUCAGCAGCCAUACACUAAAACUGGAAUGAUACAAAGAUUAGCAUGGCCCCUGCACAAGGGUGACACACAAAUUUGUGAAGCAGUCCAUAUUUUA